GUAACUAAUGCCAAUAUCCUCUGUGACUCCCAUCCCAAAAUAAGAGCUUACUUCUCUUCCACAUUAGCCUUUUUUCCAGAUCCAUCCUCUUCUGUUGCUUCUGAAACUACAUCAUCUUCCCUUUUCCUCUUGUUAGAUUCAUUGUUAGGUGUGGAGUCCCUUUUCUCAUUUUCAACAGAAGAAUCUUUCUUACUCUUGUCAGAUGCAUUUUGCUCAUUCUCCUUUGAGUCAUCAGUCUUAAACACAAGCUCAGAUUCAGCAAAGUAGGCUUUCACUGAUGAAAGAGCCCUGUAUCGAUGAGAAAUUUUGUUCUUUUCUUCCUUUGGCAUCUCUGCAAAAGUUUGCUCAUAGCCAUCAGGUUG
rnacentral:misc_RNA from 1 species